UUCACCUCUACUUAGGCAUGUGAACGUGAGGCCAGCAGCCAGCUAGUCGACUUUGGCUCUCUGGAGCUGUUACGCCACAGAUUUAAUUUUUUAAUCUCAUGCUUACACAUUGUAAUUAAUUUGAUGUAAGAAAGUUUGUCAGCUGCUUACAAUUUAACUGUUGAAAAGUGUCAGUUUUAAAUCUUCUGGCAUAAAAUUUGUUUUGCGGUUCUGGAUUUUUGUAUUUCUGUAUGGGUGUCCUGCAUCUGUUGUCUAACAAGUAAACCAUUUCAGCUUUCAUAUGACACCUUCAAAAAAAUGUCACCCAGACAAGCAGGCGUCCGACGGCUACCAAAGCACAUCGUUGUGUUAACUAUGAAGGUGAAAGGUACUGAUGGAUUUCAUAAAUUGCAUUGUACAUAUAUUUAGAUGUUUUAUGAACUACAUUUAAAGUUGAAAAUAAUGGUUUUGCAUAAUUCUUAAUUAGACAGGAACAUGCAGCAUUUCUAGUGAUUUCUGGCAUGAAGUAAGAAAGCAAUGGAGCCAUUUUUGUCAUCAUCAAUACCUAAACCUUUGUAACAAGUAUAAAGUUAAGUAAUAAAUCUGUGUGUACAUUUCUGAAAGUAGCUCUCUGGUUUGGUUAUUCACAUAUUUUAUGAUGUUGAGUCAAUUAUCAAGGUUAUGUAUCAUCAAGUAAGGUAUAGUGUGAUAAAAAUUAUGAAGGAUGUGUUAAUGUUUCUUGUCUCCCUCAUAUUUUAAUUUAUUGUAAAUUUUUGUAUGUCUUGAAUUUGUGUGCAAGUUUAUAUCAUAUGACAGUGAUUUUUUAUUAUUUCCUUCCCAGCAAGUGUGUCCACGAGAACCAUUACGUUUUUGGUUACUGCCUGUCGUGUUAGGAUUAAAUGCUGGGAUAGUACAUUUCAUGUAGUUUUUGUUUAACAAACCAUCUGCUACUAUACAACCAAAGAGUGGUUAGCACACGUUUGUAUUUGGGAGGUCCCGGGUUCAAAUCUCUGCCCGGAGACUGGCUAUCCUGAGAUUUUCAUGGUUUUCCUCAGCCAAAUUCCAGAUAGUACCCUAAAUUAGGACGCAAUUGCUUCCAUCCACAUCCUUUCAAAUUCAUUAUUCACUGUCAACCUCUCAUUCGAUGUUAUAUAGUCUGAGUUUCUGAAAAAGCGUUGUUAAAUAAAUAAAAUGUACAACUGUACAAUAUAUAUUGAAGAAACACAGAUAGUUAUCUUUAAUUGCAUACAGAUGGCGUAUGCGGGUUGUUUUCCACUUAGAUUAUCAAACUGAAUAAAUCGACUUUGCAGAAAGAUUGUGUUUGCACUUAGUCCCUCACUCUUCCACAAUUAUCCGUUGCUAACCCGGCAGUUGGUACAUUAUUGUUCAGCCGAUCAUCGAACUGUUGCAAGUUUCUGACUUAUUUUCACAGCAGUAUACCCAUACAAUCCGUACUGAAUAAGUCAGAUAGGCCUAUUUUCCGUGACGAUACAUAGUUUGAUAUUCAGUAGCUUGCGUAAUUCAGUGAUAAUUGUCCAUUUUUCAGCACUAUUCCGUAAGGACAUAUAGGAAACAUAUGCAAAAUUCCUUGAUACUUGUUUGAUUACGUUUUGUCAACUUCAAAGUUUUUAAGGGGGAGAGCUACUGGGAGGCUGAUUGGACCCUUGAGCCAUUCCAGAUUAUUAAAAGAACAUCCCAACGCUGGCGAGGAUCGAAUUCUGGCCGUUCUAUUUUACACCUGCCGUGUACGCUACGAUGGUUGGACACCGCCAGGAACAGGUUACCAAGAAUUCAACUCCGAAUUGUCGAAAUUUGUUUGGUUUAGGAUCUAGCAGUGCAUUUGGGUUUCAAAUACCAGGCCACAAGUUUGGAACUAUUCGAUGUAUUUUAGGAUCCGUUCGUUAGUUUAUGGAAGGCUGUAGAAGGUCAGACCAACUACGUGAGGUGCCAGACUUUGCUGCGCUUGUUCCCAAUAAGGCGGGAAGUCUUUGUCAAAUUGUUGAAUAAUUUUUUUAUAGGUCAAUUCAUUACAUCCAUAUUAUACUGAGAACUUCUCAUGUUCUAAUCUCCAGAUGUAUUUAAUAUAUCUAUGUGAAGUACCGA